AGGUCUGUGAUGCCCUUAGACGUUCUGGGCCGCACGCGCGCUACACUGACGGAGCCAGCGAGUCUAACCUUGGCCGAGAGGUCUUGGUAAUCUUGUGAAACUCCGUCGUGCUGGGGAUAGAGCAUUGUAAUUAUUGCUCUUCAACGAGGAAUUCCUAGUAAGCGCAAGUCAUCAGCUUGCGUUGAUUACGUCCCUGCCCUUUGUACACACCGCCCGUCGCUAGUACCGAUUGAAUGGCUUAGUGAGGCCUC
rnacentral:rRNA from 1 species